rnacentral:rRNA from 1 species
GACGAACGCUGGCGGCGUGCUUAACACAUGCAAGUCGAACGGAAAGGCCCUGCUUUUGUGGGGUGCUCGAGUGGCGAACGGGUGAGUAACACGUGAGUAACCUGCCCUUGACUUGGGGAUAACUUCAGGAAACUGGGGCUAAUAACGGAUAGGAGCUCCUGCUGCAUGGUGGGGGUUGGAAAGUUUCGGCGGUUGGGGAUGGACUCGCGGCUUAUCAGCUUGUUGGUGGGGUAGUGGCUUACCAAGGCUUUGACGGGUAGCCGGCCUGAGAGGGUGACCGGCCACAUUGGGACUGAGAUACGGCCCAGACUCCUACGGGAGGCAGCAGUGGGGAAUAUUGCACAAUGGGCGGAAGCCUGAUGCAGCAACGCCGCGUGCGGGAUGACGGCCUUCGGGUUGUAAACCGCUUUCGCCUGUGACGAAGCGUGAGUGACGGUAAUGGGUAAAGAAGCACCGGCUAACUACGUG